AACUCUAAAACGGCCUGAGUAUCUGCGGAACACUUCAUUCCGUUGACCAGUACUUGAACAUUAAGCUCACAGACAUCAGCGUCACUGAUCCAGAGAAAUAUCCACACAUGCUGUCAGUGAAAAACUGUUUCAUCCGUGGGUCUGUGGUCCGGUACGUGCAGCUGCCCGCUGAUGAGGUGGACACGCAGCUCCUGCAGGACGCGGCGCGGAAAGAAGCCAUGCAGCAGAAGCAAUGAGUGGGGGUGGAAGUGUGGGGUGGGGGGCUGAAUAAUGAGUAGUUUUGAGUUCAGGUCAUUUUAAAGAUGAUCCCGUUUGUGCAGCUCUUGUAAACGGAGCAUUAUUGGUAAUUUUCCUGUAUUUUCAAAUGGAACUUAAUAGUAUUUCUGACACGGAUAAUUAAUCAUUUGUAAACAGUCAUUUUUGGAUUGGUCUUUGUUUUGUUUAAAAGAAAGAAAAUUAAAUAAAAUGUUGAGCCCAGUAGAGGUAAAGAUCUGUUGAAGUGUUUCUGUUGCAUACAAGCUCUGUUUCUUAUCUUAAAUGAUGACUUUGUUUUUUUAUGCCACUUCAAAAUAAAAAAGCUAUUUUAUUUACA